AGCCUGAUGCAGCGACGCCGCGUGAGGGAUGAAGGCCUUCGGGUUGUAAACCUCUUUCAGUAGGGAAGAAGCGACUGGGUUCUCUCAACCGUGACGGUACCUGCAGAAGAAGCGCCGGCUAACUACGUGCCAGCAGCCGCGGUAAUA
rnacentral:rRNA from 1 species